rnacentral:rRNA from 1 species
UACGUAGGGGGCAAGCGUUGUCCGGAUUUAUUGGGCGUAAAGAGCGUGUAGGCGGCCUGAAAGGUCAGCUGUGAAAACUCGAGGCUCAACCUCGAGACGUCGGUUGAAACCAUCUGGCUAGAGUCCGGAAGAGGAGUGUGGAAUUCCCGGUGUAGCGGUGAAAUGCGCAGAUAUCGGGAGGAACACCUGCGGUGUAGACGGCUUUCUGGACCAUUGCUGACGCUGAGACACGAAAGCGUGGGUAGCAAACAGG